CUGAAGGUGACUUCGGAGCCCCUGCCCGUGUGCAUCAACAUAAAGGCAGAAAACGCUCGGGGUUCACAUUGCAGAACAUUCCUGUUCCAGCCUCCUGAUCGGGACUCUGAGGAACUCAGUGCAAGACGAUGAAGGCGCUGGUGAUAACUCUUGGAAUCCUGCUGGUGACUUCACACAUCACUGCACAACAUCCAGAGCAGACAAUCUCGGAGAAUCAUGACGCCGGCAUGUCUGCAAUAAACCAACGCGGGCGGCCGAAUCCUCCACAUCCCAGGUUCGAUGCUGCAGACGGAAACGGUGAACGAUCCAUUGCCGGACUCUCUCCAGGACGAGCUGGCCAAAGUCACCAUGACUGAUUCCUUCUGCAGGGCCACAGGAUCUGUGUGAUUGAUCAGCUCUCAUAACCCCUGAACCCUCCAUUACAUGUGCCAUAAACGUGGGUUGCCCUCACAAAUAAAACAUACUACAUUUAUAAACAA